UACGUAGGGCGCAAGCGUUAUCCGGAAUUAUUGGGCGUAAAGAGCUCGUAGGCGGUUCGUCACGUCGGGAGUGAAAACUCGGGGCUUAACCCCGAGCCUGCUUCCGAUACGGGCAGACUAGAGGUAGGCAGGGGAGAGCGGAACUCCUGGUGUAGCGGUGGAAUGCGCAGAUAUCAGGAAGAACACCGGUGGCGAAGGCGGCUCUCUGGGCCUUACCUGACGCUGAGGAGCGAAAGCGUGGGUAGCAAACGGG
rnacentral:rRNA from 1 species